UUGGGAAGUUGAAGCGAGAGAGGUAGAGCAAGUUUAAGUCCAAAAUUAGUACUGGAGUGUGGUAUCAGCAUAAAAAGGGUCAGGUCUUCGGGUCGGACCUACCAUGGCGCUCUCACAACCCCCGAAAUGGACGACCGUUACAUCAGCCCUGCCGCCAUGGCUGCGAGCUCGGAGCUUCAGAUCAGAAGCGGCAUUGGAGGCCAUAGCCAAAACUUCCCAAGACAAGGUCCCUAGUUUAGUCCUCUACAACUAUCCCUCCUUUUCUGGCGCUUUCUCGGCUCUCUUCGCCCACCUCUUUCACUCCCGUCUCAACCUCCCUUGUCUCGUAUUGCCUUUUUCUUCGGUCGAACCUCUCAGGGUUGAGGAUUUAUGCACUGAAGGCCUUAAGAGAUUGUAUCUUCUCGACUUUUUCGGUCCCAAAGGAUUUUCCAAAGAGCUUUCUCGGCGAGCUUCGUUCAAAGUGAUUGGAUUCGAUCAUCGAAAAUCAGUUCUUCCUUUUGUACCUUCUGAGGAAGAUUGUCCCACAAAUCUCACAUUUCAUCUGAAUGUUGAGAAGAGCAGCUCUAUUGCUGUGUAUGAAUUCUUCUCUGCUAAACGUGCUGAGACCAAACAUUCUGAUGGAAUGAUUGCAACAUUAUUAGAAUCAAAGGACCAAGGUCGUGUAGAAAUGACACUCAAGCACAUUGAAGAUACUGAUUUACGUAGAUGGAGCUUAGCAGAUUCGAAGGCGUUCAAUAUUGGACUUGACAAAUGGCGGUCAAAGUUGAAUUGCUUAACCAAUCCAUACAUGUAUGAACAGUUGAUGGAGAUUAAUUCUGCUGAAUUGAUUGCUAUGGGAAAUUCUUAUAUUUCUACUCGUGAAAGAGCGGCAGAGAAGUUGCUUGAUAAAGUUUUCAAAGUUAUGUUGGGCAGAGGAUUUUAUGGGGAAUGCCUGGGAGUUCGAGCAGAUACAAAUUCCGAUUUAGUUGAUGAAAUUGGCAAGAAACUUAGUGUAACAAGUGCUGCUGCAGGUCUCAGGCCUAUAGGAGCUGUUGUACACAUGCAAGGAAAUAAUCUCAAAAUAUGCUUGAGGAGUAUUGAUAGUGGCGUCGAUACCUCUGAAGUUGCAAAACAUAUGGUGGAGGGGGCUCUUCAAGAUCAAGCUCCUUUAUCAUAAGGAUGGAUGAGUAUAACCAGUGGCUUUCUGCGAUAUAAAGUUAUAAUGCUGAUUGGGAGAGUGAAAGUGAAGCCUAUACCAGCAGCAAAGAGGAGGCCCCACCAUGGCAUCUGAACCUGGUCAUUCAAAAAGAUGCAGAGUGCUAGGGAAACUACUAGGGUCACGCCAAGCAAGAAGUAAAACCACCAGGAAGUGUGAAGAGAAAAUUGGAAAUUUUCUGGCAUUGUACAAGUCCAGACCCCAGUAUGCAACAGGUAGUGCAACAUAAAUCAUCAAUGUAUAGCCAGCAAAAAUGUUGAGAAUGCUGAAGAAAGGGCAGAUUAGGGGGCUGAACAAGAAAGAUGCCACAGCUGCCCAGUCAAGUGUGAGUGACCCCAGUCCAAGGCCUUUCAUGCCUGAGCCAAUCUGCUGUGCUGUAACUGACUUUGAGAAUACCCAGCAAACCCAUGAUAUGUUUGUGAGUGUUGGGAAGAGGAGUCCCGGGAAAACAUACCAUGAAAAACUGCAGAUUAGAGCUAUUAGAAAGAACUUUGCCCGUGACAUCCGCUGCUCAUCUUUCUCAUGCAAUGCCCUGUUCAUUGGUAUGCAAAAAUUUCAUUAGAGUAGGUAGAUAAUGUUUGCAAGUUAUUUAGCAUCAAAAUUUUAGGCAGUGGUGACUAGUGAGUGUAAUAUCAGUUCAAUGAAUUUUGAAUAUAUUGCAAUUUCAUUGGUAUGGGAAAUUUUCAUUUUAGUAGGUAGGUGAUGUUUAUACGUUAUUUUGUAUUAAAAUUUUAGGCACUUGUGAUUAUGAGUAUAAAAUCAGUUCUAUGAA